CAAGUCGAGGGGCAGCAUGGUCUUAGCUUGCUAAGGCCGAUGGCGACCGGCGCACGGGUGAGUAACACGUAUCCAACCUGCCGUCUACUCUUGGACAGCCUUCUGAAAGGAAGAUUAAUACAAGAUGGCAUCAUGAGUCCGCAUGUUCACAUGAUUAAAGGUAUUCCGGUAGACGAUGGGGAUGCGUUCCAUUAGAUAGUAGGCGGGGUAACGGCCCACCUAGUCUUCGAUGGAUAGGGGUUCUGAGAGGAAGGUCCCCCACAUUGGAACUGAGACACGGUCCAAACUCCUACGGGAGGCAGCAGUGAGGAAUAUUGGUCAAUGGGCGAGAGCCUGAACCAGCCAAGUAGCGUGAAGGAUGACUGCCCUAUGGGUUGUAAACUUCUUUUAUAAAGGAAUAAAGUCGGGUAUGCAUACCCGUUUGCAUGUACUUUGUGAAUAAGGAUCGGCUAACUCCGUGCCAGCAGCCGCGGUAAUACGGAGGAUCCGAGCGUUAUCCG
rnacentral:rRNA from 1 species